UCUCUAUGUGUGGGUGGCAGUGGUGGCGGAAGAGCCACCUGUUAUCAGUCUGUCCCCUAAUCCAUCCUGCAGAUGAGUGGCCGCCUGCCUGCCUGGCAGAUAGCGCUGGGAGGGCUGUUGCUCCCUGCCAGGGAUUGCUAAAGAGCAGCCACCAUAUUGAUUGGCCCUGUCACCACUUGAGGGAUGUAUUCUUGUGAACAGCCUCUGGCAUUAGCAGUCUGCUCGCAUGUUGGCUGCAUCAAGGGCUACCAAGGUCUCCAUCCCCGGCAGGUGCAGCAGGGACAGGGCUGGGGCUCGUGGCUGCACUCAGCAACUCCUGCCCCAGAGAGCCAGACCACGAGGAUGGCUGAGGUAACCCUCAGCAGUGCAGGAGGGGGAAGGAGAAGACCAAGAUGUUGGUGUGUCCCAGGAUUCAGGAGAUGAGGAGAUGCUUGGUGAGCACGUCUGGUGAGCUCACCGUGGGCACACGGUAGAGGUGCGGAUCCUUCCAGCUCGUGCUUUCUGUCUGCUGGAUUUGGUAGGCUUCAGUGGGAUCAAGGAUGCAGGAGGAUGACUGGGGCUGGACAGUGAUUUUUUUUUUUUUUUUUUUUCCCCCACAGAAAAUGCUGAUUUAUUAAUCUCAAAGCCAUAAGUAUGAAAUGGCUGGCUUGACCAAAAAUACUUCUUUGGAAAAAAUAGGAUUCAGGAGUCUCCAAAUUUCUGAAGUGACCCCUUUGGAUGCCAUCAGAUUGGAGAAACUCGGGAUCUCUUCAUUCAGAGCUGGUCUGUGCUUCGACAGGGCACAGACCAGACCCCCCCUGCAAACAGCUUAUGACCUGGACUUCUCCCUCCAUACCUAUCCUGCAAAACCAGCCUUUCUGCCCUGCCCGGGGGAACAGCCCACAGCAGAGGACAUCAGUUGAGCUAGUUCUGGGAAAGACCUCCAGAAGGAAGGCUGUAACUAUCAACAUGCCAAAUGAGAACACAAAAGAAGCAGUGGGCAGCAACCUGGCCCACGAUCUGCAAGGGCUGAAGUAAGCAAGAUCCUGAGGGGAGACAUCACCCUGUAAUCACCGCUGCCUCCCAAAGGGUGUUAAUGCCCAUUUGUUAUCACUAGUGCUGGAGAUAGGAUCAUUGGCUGACGUCCCAUGUCCCCUCUGUCAUGAACAAGUGAUCCUGGCCAGCCCACUUGGACACUCAUGGCGGUGAGUGCACAAGGACAUCUUGGAAAUGGCAUUAAGUAAAAUCCCUUUCCCACUCAUGCAGUCUCCCACUGAGGUUUUUACAUCAAUUUCCUGCAUUUUGAGCUUAUCAACGGGAUCUUUUCUGGUAAAAACCAAGCAUGUUUAAAUGAA